CAGGUGCGCGGGGCCGGGCUGCCGGAGACAAUGCGAGCGGCCCGGGAGAGUGGGGGGAGGAGGUUUCGGGGCGGCGACGGGCGGGCUGCCUUUUUCUUCGUCCCCUCCCCGCUCCGCGGCCGCCCUCGCAGCUGCAGGACACACAAUCGGCCGCCCGACCACAGCCACCGUGCAUAAUUAGCCGUGGGGAGGGGGCGCCUUUCACAGGGCUGCGUUCCCCCCGCCCGCCGGCCCCUGGAACCCCCUGCCCAACAAAAGCCGCUUUCUUUGGUGUCGAGGAUGAACUUUACAAUUCAGUGAAGACCCCUUUCCCAGGUCCCACUAUAAAUGGAUGGGAUUGCCUGGCAACUGGGAAACUGACCUCAAACCCAAGACCAUGACCUGGCCAGAGAUAGAAUUAUCAGUUGCUAGAGAUGGGCCUAACCAGUCGUGAGUUCAAGAAGAACUAUGUUUAAAUCUGGCUCUCAGACUCUUGCUAGCUGUAAAACCCGGAGCAAGUCAUUAACCCCAUCAUCAAAAAAUAAAUAAAUAAAAGAUUAGUGAAGAAUUCUAGCUUGCCGUUAUACCUAUUUUAUAUACCUAUAUAUCCUGAUCAUGUAAAAAUUUCUCAGGCCCCGUUCUAGCGCAUUUUUCAAAGUUAACUUUCUAUAUUCUGUUAUUUCUUAUUCUGAUUUAUUUUGAUUAUUCUCAUUUUAUAUGACACUAUAUAUAUAUAAUGAGAAUAUUCUUAUUUUAUAUGACACUGUAUAUUUUUAGAAGACACAAGGUCGCUACUAGGUCCAAUGGCUUGAUCAAGACCAUCCUGGUAGCAAGCACAAGAUUUGAAUACAACUAUUCCAAUGCCAAAGUCACUACUCUUUCCAUUGAUUUUUUUCUUAUUUUAAGGUCUAUGUUUUAAAUUUCUUUUUCACAUUUAAUAAUCUGUUCCUGAGGUCUCGUCCAGCUCUGACAGCCUGGAUUCCCACCAGAGCACCCAGAAGCAAGCCUCUCUGCAACCCCAUCAAGGGUUACACAUCAGACCCCAAAUUGACCAGAGCUGUUCAACUUUCUCAUUUUUAUGACUAUCUCCAUUAAAUGACGCCUCCAUCUGUAAAAACAAAACAAAACAUGUUACACUCCACUUACUGUCCAUCAACUGCCCACCUUGUUUGACCUUAGUCCUGGCUUUUCUUCUAGUCCUAACACUCUAUGAGUCUAUUAUUCAUGCCAAAUAAAAACAAAUUUCCCAUAGCCAAAUAAAAAUCAUCCAAGAGAACGAAUCAUCCCAGAGUUCAUUUUCAUUUUGGUCUACCAUUUUUUUAUUCUUCCAGGAAACCAUUACCCAGUAAGACACAGAAAGCUAUUAAAAGAAAGUAAAAGUUUCACAACUGAAUUCCAAGCAAAUAAGAUCAAACAAUGCAUGCACCAAGGGCCUCAUCCACCCACUGGAACUUGUGGCUCUGAAAGGGGGGAAAUUGUUAACAGACUCGCAGUUACCAAUUUGGUGGCCCAGCCAAGGAAGCUGAUAGGUCUGCUGGUCUCCCACGGUGGUUUGAACUAAGAACCAGAAGAAGGCUGGGGCCUGCAAUAGGACGAGCAAGUAUUCACUAGGAGAAUAUUAGCUUGAGAGAAUGUGAGCUCUUUGAAGGCGACAACUGUUUCUCCUUUUUUGUCUCCAUCCCUAGAUAGCACCAGGAACAUAAUUAGCAUCCAAAUAAUGCUUAUUGAAUUAAGAUAAGUAAAGAAAAAGAUGAAUGCUUAUUGAAUGAAUGAAGAAGUAGGUAGCAUAGGUAUAUUGUAAAUAAGUGUUGUGGAAGGAGGGAAGGAAGGAAGGAAGAAAAAGAGGGAGAGAGGGAAAGAGGAAGGAAAAAAGAAAGGAAG